rnacentral:rRNA from 1 species
GACGAACGCUGGCGGCGUGCUUAACACAUGCAAGUCGAACGGAAAGGCCCUGCUUUUGUGGGGUGCUCGAGUGGCGAACGGGUGAGUAACACGUGAGUAACCUGCCCUUGACUUUGGGAUAACUUCAGGAAACUGGGGCUAAUACCGGAUAGGAGCUCCUGCUGCAUGGUGGGGGUUGGAAAGUUUCGGCGGUUGGGGAUGGACUCGCGGCUUAUCAGCUUGUUGGUGGGGUAGUGGCUUACCAAGGCUUUGACGGGUAGCCGGCCUGAGAGGGUGACCGGCCACAUGGGGACUGAGAGACGGCCCAGACUCCUACGGGAGGCAGCAGUGGGGAAUAUUGCACAAUGGGCGGAAGCCUGAUGCAGCAACGCCGCGUGCGGGAUGACGGCCUUCGGGUUGUAAACCGCUUUCGCCUGUGACGAAGAGUGAGUGACGGUAAUGGGUAAAGAAGCACCGGCUAACUACGUG